UUUGCUUUGGCAUCACAUACUAAAGUUAGAAUGAUGUGGAGAAGAUUAGCCUGACUCCUAUGCGAGAAUGACACACAAAUUUGUGAAAUAUUUCCUAUUUGG
ensembl:snRNA U6 U6 spliceosomal RNA